rnacentral:lncRNA from 1 species
AUGGAGGUAGCUCUUGGCGUUUUCAUUAUGUUUACUAUGCUUAUAUUUUACCGUUAAAAGAAGGUAGUUCUUUCUCCUUUAAUAUCUGAAGUAUGGGAUCAACCAGCUUAUGCAACGUAUAAGCUCACUCUAUAUGUUUAGAUUCAUAUUCAGGAAUCCUAUGAAGCGGCAUCUGUUCAGACAGUGAAAACUUUCAGGACAGCUCUUCAUUUUUAGAGGACAUCCAUGACCCUGUGGGCUGGCCCUGGAAUCCAAGAGGAAGGAAAGUGUUCUCAGUCACCCCUGAAGACAGCAUGCCAUGAUACUCUCAAAGUUCCUGGAAGCUAAAAAUCUCUGAUAGCACAUAAGAAAGUCUGAAUUUGGCCCAAGGAUUAAAGAUUCUGACUGCGCUGCUUGACAGCAAAAUAUGGAAGGAUUCAGGACCUCCUCCAAAAAAGCAAUCAAUUCUAUCCAGCAUUGUGGGACUGUCAUGAGCUGCUUGAGACAAUUCUUCUAGGCAAAAGAACUGUCAACAUGGGGGCUGAUCCAGCACAAUGCAGGUUCUUCAUUAUAUAUUUAUCCCUAUGUUUGCCACAGUAUGGAUAAAACUAACAUUUUAAAAAGGAAAUUGACAUCAAUCUAGUUUUCUCAUUUUAAAAAAUUAUUUAAAAUUGUUCAGCUUUAGGAUUAAUUAACUCUUCUCCACGUAAGCAUUUUUAAAGCUCAACAUGGACAAAAGUUAUUAGCUGCUUAACUUCCAAAACAUCUGGACACCAUAAUAGAA